CCUACGGGAGGCAGCAGUGGGGAAUAUUGGACAAUGGGGGCAACCCUGAUCCAGCCAUGCCGCGUGUGUGAAGAAGGCCCUCGGGUUGUAAAGCACUUUCAGUGAGGAAGAACGCCUGGUGGUUAAUACCCAUCAGGAAAGACAUCACUCACAGAAGAAGCACCGGCUAACUCCGUGCCAGCAGCCGCGGUAAUACGGAGGGUGCGAGCGUUAAUCGGAAUUACUGGGCGUAAAGCGCGCGUAGGUGGCUUGAUAAGCCGGUUGUGAAAGCCCCGGGCUCAACCUGGGAACGGCAUCCGGAACUGUCAAGCUAGAGUGCAGGAGAGGAAGGUAGAAUUCCCGGUGUAGCGGUGAAAUGCGUAGAGAUCGGGAGGAAUACCAGUGGCGAAGGCGGCCUUCUGGACUGACACUGACACUGAGGAGCGAAAGCGUGGGUAGCAAACAGGAUUAGAUACCCGUGUAGUC
rnacentral:rRNA from 1 species